ACACGCAGCAUUAGCAAUUAGAAAUUGCAACCCUGCUACAUUUUUACAAAGCCGCCAAGUUGACAACAUUGUGGCGGCAAAAAAGCAAUAAUUGUGAUUGAAUUGUGCUCAGUUGGCGCGGAAAAAACAACAAACAAACAUCGUUUUUCAGACUAAAAUUCUAGAAUAUUUUGCUUUUUUUGCUGUCAAAUUAUGAAAAUCCAAGAAAUUAAAACGCUUUUUGCCCAUAUCCAUAUCAAAGGUUUGAGCAUAAAUAGAGAAGGUGUCCCAUUGCCUAUGGCCGCUGGUUUAGUUGGACAAAAUGCUGCCCGAGAAGCUGCUGAUAUAGUUGUGAAUUUGACGAGAAACAAGAAAAUGCUGGACUUGCCUUACAGCUGGAGUUAAUAUCCGGUACGGGCAACACUGCAACUGCUCUAGCUAUUGCCCAGGAAUUGGACAAUAAGGUAACAUUCUGUCCCGGAGAUGUUCAGCAGCAAAAUAAGAAAGACCGUGUUUCUCAUAGAAAAUUUGAGAGGUUUAAUUGGUUUUAAUGGAAUGAGUGAAAUUAAGGAAGCCUGAGGGUGAAUUUACCGAACUCACAGAAAAAAUGGAGGUGGAUGACAUCUACAUUUGGCCAAUAGUUGUGCCGUCAAGCGUUAAGGACGCAGUGACACCUUUGCAGCGGAAUUUGACUUGGAGACCGAGGCUUGAAUGUGUUAUACGUGGCACCAAAGACAUUGCCUCAUCUCAUGGCAUUCGAUUGGAGUUACCUGAUCCUUGGCUCUCAUACGCACCUUACUAUAUCAUUCCAGUGAAAUAUGGAACAAUUCGUAAAACUGCGUGCCGAAAUUGAAAACCCUCAAUUGGAACAGUCCGCCUUUAUCAUUUUAUCACAUUGACUUCCAGUUGCUCACACCAGCCCAUCAAAUGGCCAAGGCGAAUGGUCGCACACAAAUUACAUAUUGGAACAUAUUGAUGAUCCGAGAAGAAUACACAAUUAAUGAAAUUAAUCUACUUCCAACCGAAUGAUCUGUAGACAUUUCGGUAUUUCAGUGUAUAUAACCUUUUUCUGCAUAAAAUUUCAAAUAAAGGGCUAGAAGAAACAUGAAAAUUCAAGUGUAAUUGACUUCCCAGAACAAACGUUUCGGAUCCGAUCUGACAUAAAUUUGGCAAUUGUGAUUUUCAAAGACUAAACGCUCUAAUAAGAAUUCUUGCCAUGUUUCUCAAUCGAAAUGACUGAAAUAUAUUUUUAAAUCAUAA